rnacentral:rRNA from 1 species
UUCCGUAGGUGAACCUGCGGAAGGAUCAUUCGCACGUAUCCAAUUGAACCAUGUGAACUACCUUUGUGGGUCUCUGGCGGAGGUUGAGAUUGUAUCGAUGCCUCCAUGCAGAAAUCCGUGGGCUGCAGGGCGGAAUCGGACACGUUCCUUUACCGUUCCUGCUGCCAAUGGUCUCUGACACGAUUUUCAUUCCAAUGUAGUUUCAGAGUUUCUGACUCAUCUUAUUGGAAAUACAACUUUCAGCGACGGAUGUCUCGGCUCGAACAACGAUGAAGGGCGCAGCGAAGUGUGAUAAGCAUUGUGAAUUGCAGAAUUCCGUGAACCAAUAGGGAUUUGAACGUAUACUGCGCUUUCGGGAUAUCCCUGAAAGCAUGCCUGCUUCGGUGUCUACUCACAUUCAUUCCAGCACGUAUGCUUGCCUUUGCGCUCGCAGUGUGCUUGUGAGCAUUUGUGUGUUAGGGUUCCUCUUCUGGGCCCUGACGCAUUCAGGUCAUAGGGCUUUUUGCGACAACCAACUUGAAGAGCAUCUCAUGUGCGAUUUUUGUUGGCCUUGUUGCGUAAGAGCUCCUAGCGAUGACACUUGUGCCCUUGUGGUGCUCCACUCCAAGACACGAAGUUAGGUCAGCAAACCCGCUGAAUUUAAGCAUAUCAAUAAGCGGAGGAAA